UUCCUUUUUGUAAACUUCAAG
rnacentral:piRNA from 1 species